UGUAAAGGUCUAAUCCGCGGGUGCACACACACCACCACUCGGGGUUGAUAAGUACCGAAGUGUACAAGAGGUUACAGCCACGGGACCAGGUGCGCUGCUACGACUUGGACCUCAUUCCACACACGUGGUACGAGCUCCUGUUGUAGUCACUACAGUCCUUCCUCUUCCUCUCCGAACUCCGCCCGUACGUGUACACGCGACCGUAGAGUUCCACCUCCUCGCGAGUCCCCUAGUGUGGUAGCAUGCACCGCCCCAAGUACGUCCUCUCCCUAGAACGGCACCAUUCGAAACAAGCCCUCUUCGACGACAGACCCCACGAGUGGUUCUGUAAGGAGUACUACUACCUGAUGUUGACGCC
rnacentral:rRNA from 1 species